AUGUCGAAGCGGCGAGCCCCGUCGUCUUCUGAGGCGGAGCACGACCGGGACCGUGCCUGCACCUGCACGGCCAAGAGGGCGCGGCCGCAGCCGAAGCAGAGCCACCUCUACGUGGCGCUGGAUGACCGGGACAAGGCGUACAGCGUCUACAAGCUGAACGUCGACGGCGGCGAUGGCGAUGGCGAUGGCGAUGGCUCCUCCCAGCACCGCCUCCCGGAGCCUCCGGUCCUCCGGCUCGAGGUCCCGAAACGCGGGGACACAUGCAUCUUCGCCGCCCUCGGCCCAAAGAUCAUCGCCCUCUGCGCCAACCGCUCUCCGACGCUCGUCCACGACACUCACACUGCUGCGCUGGCCUUUGGCCACCAUGCCCCACGCGCGCUGGCCCGGGCAUCCUUCACUGUACCCGCCGCCGGCUGCCUCUACGCGCUGCCUGCCCGCUUCACGGAGGACACCUACUACCUUGAGCCCGAGGAGAUGGCCUUGGGCCCGGAUGACGAGGAGAAGACGAUCAUUGACAAGUGGGUGUGGAACCAAACCGAUUCGAGGUCGCCCGUCCCGUUCAACCCCAGGGCCAUCACGUGCCAUGCGGUGCACCCGGACGGCCGCACGGUCUUCGUGUCCGUUCAUCGCCGGCGUGAUGCCUGGAUGGACCACGGGACCUUCUCCCUCGACGCCGGACGCCGUGGCGCAGAGUGGACGCAUCACGGCGAUUGGAUGCUGCCGUUCAAGGGCAGGGCCUUCUUCGAGCCCCAGCUCGACGCCUGGGUCGGGCUGGACGAGGACGGACACAUCUGCUCCUGCAACGGCAUGUCGCGCCGCGGGAGCCGCAGGGCGGCGCCGGCGCUAAAGGUCGCCAAGGAGACGCUGCUCCGCGAGCCUGACCCAGGUAGGCGGCUGGACGCCACGCUCGCUUACAUGGGCGACGGGAGGUUCUGCCUCGUGGAGCGCAUGUCGUGCGAGGGAGCCGAGGCGAUGAACGCCUUCGGUGACGGCGAUGCGUGUGUGCUCCAUGUCACCACCUUCGCCGUGAGGUACGACAGUCACGGGGAUCUGACGGUGGCUGAUCGACGCCAAGCCGGCUCCUACGCGGUGUCCACGCACGAUAGAUUCUUUAAGCUGCAGGCAUUUUUCUUGUAA
rnacentral:rRNA from 1 species